AUAUAUUUUAUUAAAAAAAAUCUUUCUUAUCAGUUUAAUAUCUGAUACGUCCCCCAUCGGGGGACUACAUUAUUAAAUGGUAUUUUCGAACAGGGAGUCGGAAAUGGGGCUUGCGCCGUCCGCUCCACGCAUCGACCCGGUAUUGCAGUACCUCCGGGAACGGUUGAAACACU
rnacentral:snRNA from 1 species